rnacentral:rRNA from 1 species
UCAGGACGAACGCUGGCGGCGUGCUUAACACAUGCAAGUCGAACGGAAAGGCCCUGCUUGCAGGGUACUCGAGUGGCGAACGGGUGAGUAACACGUGGGUGAUCUGCCCUGCACUUCGGGAUAAGCUUGGGAAACUGGGUCUAAUACCGGAUAGGAACCAUCUUUAGUGUGGUGGUUGGAAAGUUUUUUCGGUGUAGGAUGAGCUCGCGGCCUAUCAGCUUGUUGGUGGGGUAAUGGCCUACCAAGGCGGCGACGGGUAGCCGGCCUGAGAGGGUGUACGGCCACAUUGGGACUGAGAUACGGCCCAGACUCCUACGGGAGGCAGCAGUGGGGAAUAUUGCACAAUGGGCGCAAGCCUGAUGCAGCGACGCCGCGUGGGGGAUGAAGGCCUUCGGGUUGUAAACUCCUUUCGCUAGGGACGAAGCUUUUUGUGACGGUACCUAGAUAAGAAGCACCGGCUAACUACGUGCCAGCAGCCGCGGUAAUACGUAGGGUGCGAGCGUUGUCCGGAAUUACUGGGCGUAAAGGGCUCGUAGGUGGUUUGUCGCGUCGUCUGUGAAAUUCUGGGGCUUAACUCCGGGCGUGCAGGCGAUACGGGCAUAACUUGAGUGCUGUAGGGGUAACUGGAAUUCCUGGUGUAGCGGUGAAAUGCGCAGAUAUCAGGAGGAACACCGAUGGCGAAGGCAGGUUACUGGGCAGUUACUGACGCUGAGGAGCGAAAGCAUGGGUAGCGAACAGGAUUAGAUA